rnacentral:snoRNA from 1 species
UUUCUCAUUUGACUACCACAUUUUCUCCUAGUCAUAGAUUUCAGUGGCUAUACUUUUGGGAUAGAUUAAAAUUGCCAUGAAACGAAGAGGGAGGGUUUUUUGGUAUCCUCCUUCUAUAUGAGAUGGCUAAACAGGAAAAA